GUCUACAGCCAUGCCACCCUGAACAAGCCCGAUGUCUGAUCUCGGAAGCUAAGCAGGGUCGGGCCUGGUUAGUAUUUGGAUGGGAGACCACCUAAGGAGACGAGGUGCUGUAGGCA
rnacentral:rRNA from 1 species